CAGUAGCCGCGGUAACACGGAGGGUGCAAGCGUUAAUCGGAAUUACUGGGCGUAAAGCGUGCGUAGGCGGUUCGUCAAGUCUGUUGUGAAAGCCCCGGGCUCAACCUGGGAAUGGCAAUGGAUACUGGCGAGCUAGAGUGUGUCAGAGGAUGGUGGAAUUCCCGGUGUAGCGGUGAAAUGCGUAGAGAUCGGGAGGAACAUCAGUGGCGAAGGCAGCCAUCUGGGACAACACCGACGCUGAGGCACGAAAGCGUGGGGAGCAAACAGGAUUAGAUACCCGGGUAGUCCCUGUCUCUUAUAC
rnacentral:rRNA from 1 species